rnacentral:rRNA from 1 species
UGGGGAAUAUUGCGCAAUGGGGGAAACCCUGACGCAGCGACGCCGUGUGAGGGAAGAAAGCUUUCGGGUCGUAAACCUCUGUCGGGAGGGAAGAACCUUCCAGGUCUGAACAAGGCUUGGAACUGACGGUACCUCCAAAGGAAGCACCGGCUAACUCCGUGCCAGCAGCCGCGGUAAUACGGAGGGUGCAAGCGUUAAUCGGAAUCACUGGGCGUAAAGCGCGCGUAGGCGGCUUUUUAAGUCGGACGUGAAAGCCCUCGGCUCAACCGGGGAACUGCGUUCGAAACUGGGAAGCUUGAGUCCUGGAGAGGGUGGCGGAAUUCCGGGUGUAGGAGUGAAAUCCGUAGAUAUCCGGAGGAACACCGGUGGCGAAGGCGGCCACCUGGACAGGUACUGACG